AGAUGACUCUUAUACAUCAAAUGGCAAAGAUACUAUUUAGGACUAUCUCUAUAAACGAUAUAUGUCCUAAAUAGUGAAUCCAUGGACAAUGGAUCGAUUGAAGAAGUAAUCUAAUGAAGUUAGACUACAUAGACCUUCUUCACAUAACCAUCAUGUCCAAAAGGUUCAUGGUCAUAGGAUUGUCGGAGGGAUACUGAUAAUGCAUAGACCGGUACAUACUAUGUCCGCUUCAAUUAGAAGGAUGGAAAGUCUCAUCCCAUUCGUGUAGUGACACUAAGACAAGUAUGUAGGUGCUCAUUAAGGGAAUGAGUUCACUAAACACAAUCAAACGAGAGUACUUGCAUGGAGGUCUACUCACAUGUCAAGCAAGUAACUCUAAUGGUUGGAAUAAUGUAAGUAGUCCUUUGACUUGAGGCAUCAUCGUUAUCUUAUGGUUAAGUACUUGAUCUUUGAUUAUGUCAAAGUCACUCCAUCCGCGGG
rnacentral:lncRNA from 1 species